GGGGCUGACGCUGGUUUUGACAGCAAGUAGAAAGGGUUUGUAAGCAUGCCGAGCGUUGUGAAGCUGGCUCGUUAAUCUCAGGACUCAAACUUUUAAAAGGCGAAUCAAAUUACGCUCUCGCUGCCUAAUUACGCAAAGCGAAUUAGCUUAAUUCCGGAGCCUAGGUGCUCCAGAACGAGAUGUCUCGCAGAGGGUUCCGUCCCGUUGCUCCCUGCAUACGAGGCACCAAUCAAAUGGGAAUAGCCAGAGCGAUGUCUCUAAGCACUGGUGAAACUUUAGAGGAUAAGGGUUAGCUCGGUUGCCUUGCACCUGGUUACCCCCGACAAUUAAGAAAGGCUAAGCAUGUAGAAAGCAAAUUGGUUCCUUGUUUGGACGAGGGUUCGAACCCCUCCAGCUCCACUA
rnacentral:tmRNA from 1 species